UACGUAGGGUGCGAGCGUUAAUCGGAAUUACUGGGCGUAAAGCGUGCGCAGGCGGUAAGUUAAGUCUGAUGUGAAAGCCCCGGGCUCGAACCUGGGAAUGGCAUUGGAAACUGGCUUGCUGGAGUGUGGCAGAGGGGGGUGGAAUUCCGCGUGUAGCAGUGAAAUGCGUAGAGAUGCGGAGGAACACCGAUGGCGAAGGCAGCCCCCCUGGGCUAACACGUGACGCUCGAGGCACGAAAGCGUGGGGAGCAAACAGG
rnacentral:rRNA from 1 species